CAGUAGCCACGGUAAUACGAAGGGGGCUAGCGUUGCUCGGAAUCACUGGGCGUAAAGGGUGCGUAGGCGGGUCUUUAAGUCAGGGGUGAAAUCCUGGAGCUCAACUCCAGAACUGCCUUUGAUACUGAAGAUCUUGAGUUCGGGAGAGGUGAGUGGUACUGCGAGUGUAGAGGUGAAAUUCGUAGAUAUUCGCAAGAACACCAGUGGCGAAGGCGGCUCACUGGCCCGAUACUGACGCUGAGGCACGAAAGCGUGGGGAGCAAACAGGAUUAGAUACCCCCGUAGUCCCUGUCUCUUAUAC
rnacentral:rRNA from 1 species